rnacentral:lncRNA from 1 species
GCGUUGUUGUUUUAUGAACCCGUCGGAAAGUGAUUGUCGUUGAGAACAAGUCCUUGGAUGGAAACCAAGGGUUGGAGCAUCGCCGACCAGAUAUCCUGCAUAUCCGACCUUUUUGGAUUCAUGAUUUUUGCUCUCCUUGAUAAUUGUUUUGGGCGGUAGACUUUUAGUCUUCCCUCGUUGAAUACUCAUAGUAUUUUCCAUUAUUUGAACCCAAAAGUGGUGAUCGAAGGCAUCCGCAACGAUUUCGGAGUGCAUAAAUGUUUUGGAUGU